CAACUAUAUCAUGUUGAGAUACCAGUUCCUGUACGAUCAGCGAAGUUAAGCAAUGUCAAGCAUGGUGAGUACCAAGGUGGGUGACCACUAGAGAAUAUCAAGUGCUGUAAG